GUGGGGAAUUUUGGACAAUGGGCGCAAGCCUGAUCCAGCAAUGCCGCGUGCAGGAAGAAGGCCUUCGGGUUGUAAACUGCUUUUGUACGGAACGAAAAGGCUCUGGCUAAUACCUGGAGCUCAUGACGGUACCGUAAGAAUAAGCACCGGCUAACUACGUGCCAGCAGCCGCGGUAAUACGUAGGGUGCGAGCGUUAAUCGGAAUUACUGGGCGUAAAGCGUGCGCAGGCGGUGCUGUAAGACAGGAGCGAAAUCCCCGGGCUCAACCUUGGAAUUGCGCUUGUGACUGCAGCGCUGGAGUGAGGCAGAGGGGGAUGGGAUUCCACGUGUAGCAGUGAAAUGCGUAGAUAUGCGGAGGAACACCGAUGGCGAAGGCAAUCCCCUGGGCCUGCACUGACGCUCAUGCACGAAAGCGUGGGGAGCAAACAGGAUUAGAAACCCUUGUAGUCC
rnacentral:rRNA from 1 species